AGAGUUUGAUCCUGGCUCAGGACGAGCUUUGGCGGCGUGCUUAACACAUGCAAGUCGAACGGUAAGGCCCUUCGGGGUACACGAGUGGCGAACGGGUGAGUAACACGUGGGUAAUCUGCCCUGCACAUCGGGAUAAGCCUGGGAAACUGGGUCUAAUACCGAAUAGGACCACAAAACACAUGUCCUGUGGUGGAAAGCUUUUGCGGUGUGGGAUGGGCCCGCGGCCUAUCAGCUUGUUGGUGGGGUGAUGGCCUACCAAGGCGACGACGGGUAGCCGGCCUGAGAGGGUGUCCGGCCACACUGGGACUGAGAUACGGCCCAGACUCCUACGGGAGGCAGCAGUGGGGAAUAUUGCACAAUGGGCGAAAGCCCGAUGCAGCGACGCCGCGUGGGGGAUGACGGCCUUCGGGUUGUAAACCUCUUCCACCAUCGACGAAGGUCCGGGUUUUCUCGGAUUGACGGUAGGUGGAGAAGAAGCACCGGCCAACUACGUGCCAGCAGCCGCGGUAAUACGUAGGGUGCGAGCGUUGUCCGGAAUUACUGGGCGUAAAGAGCUCGUAGGUGGUUUGUCGCGUUGUUCGCGAAAUCUCACGGCUUAACUGUGAGCGUGCGGGCGAUACGGGCAGACUUGAGUACUGCAGGGGAGACUGGAAUUCCUGGUGUAGCGGUGGAAUGCGCAGAUAUCAGGAGGAACACCGGUGGCGAAGGCGGGUCUCUGGGCAGUAACUGACGCUGAGGAGCGAAAGCGUGGGGAGCGAACAAAAUUAGAUACCCUGGUAGUCCACGCCGUAAACGGGGGGUACUAGGUGUGGGUUUCCUUCCUUGGGAUCCGUGCCGUAGCUAACGCAUUAAGUACCCCGCCUGGGGAGUACGGCCGCAAGGCUAAAACUCAAAGAAAUUGACGGGGGCCCGCACAAGCGGCGGAGCAUGUGGAUUAAUUCGAUGCAACGCGAAGAACCUUACCUGGGUUUGACAUGCACAGGACGCCGGCAGAGAUGUCGGUUCCCUUGUGGCCUGUGUGCAGGAGGUGCAUGGCUGUCGUCAGCUCGUGUCGUGAGAUGUUGGGUUAAGUCCCGCAACGAGCGCAACCCUUGUCUCAUGUUGCCAGCGGGUAAUGCCGGGGACUCGUGAGAGACUGCCGGGGUCAACUCGGAGGAAGGUGGGGAUGACGUCAAGUCAUCAUGCCCCUUACGUCCAGGGCUUCACACAUGCUACAAUGGCCGGUACAAAGGGCUGCGAUGCCGCGAGGUUAAGCGAAUCCUUUUAAAGCCGGUCUCAGUUCGAAUCGGGGUCUGCAACUCGACCCCGUGAAGUCGGAGUCGCUAGUAAUCGCAGAUCAGCGACGCUGCGGUGAAUACGUUCCCGGGCCUUGUACUCACCGCCCGUCA
rnacentral:rRNA from 1 species